CCUGCUCAAAGCAGGCAUGCAUUAUCAUCACUAUCACAUGUCUUCAUAAAGCAACAAUAGAUCUCCUUCUGGAAACACCAUUUUAAAAGGAGCAGGUACCCAGCUGUAAACAUCAUGAAGGAUGUGACGGGAGGGCGGCUUCCCUCCUUUAGGAGCUGUAUAUACAUUAAUCACUGAAUCACCAAGCCAUGCUUAAUUGCAAGCUGUAUAUCACACAAAUCCAUGGAAUGCAGAAAAGGUAUUACACCACUAAUUACAGCCACACUGGCACCUCCAUCUCAGCUGCCUGGAAGAGAAAAUGGGACUCUCACAGAUCUGCAGCCAUCCGGGGCUUCUGCCUCAUUGCCGCUAAACUGACUGGGGCCUCCCCUGGUGGCACAGUGGUUGAGCGCUG